UACGGGGGGGGCAAGCGUUUGUUCGGAAUUACUGGGCGUAAAGGGCUCGUAGGCGGCCAACUAAGUCAGACGUGAAAUCCCUCGGCUUAACCGGGGAACUGCGUCUGAUACUGGAUGGCUUGAGGUUGGGAGAGGGAUGCGGAAUUCCAGGUGUAGCGGUGAAAUGCGUAGAUAUCUGGAGGAACACCGGUGGCGAAGGCGGCGAUCCUGGACCAAUUCUGACGUGAGUGAGCGAAAGCCAGGGGGAGCAAACGGG
rnacentral:rRNA from 1 species